GUGCCCUGUUAUGAUUCUGUUUUUUCUAGGUGGGUGCCAUUGCAUUUGGUUCAAACUCUGGUUUAUGUUUUCCAUUUGUGUAUUUCAAAUUCGCCUCUGCUACUGGUUGCGCAAACGCUUGUGGAGCUUUAGAGUGGUUGUGAAGGUCUAUUCUCUCUUUCCAUGCAUUGUUUUCUCACUGAGGAGGAACUCUUAAACACAUCUUCUAUUUAUCAGGCAUGGAGUGAAUUUUGAUUUUCAAGCGAUAUCAUGCUGCAGUUCAUUAGAGGAUUUUUUUUACUUCCCUACCAAGAUGUGAUCUUGACUUGUAUAAGCAAUCAAGAGGUCUUGACGAUCCUGAUCUUCUAUCCAGGGAGACUGUGUAUGUUUUUAAUUCUCUUUUCUUUUCUUUGUGGAUUGUGUACCUCUGAACUUUGUUAAAUGAUGCUAGUUUUCCAUGAUAUGCAGUCAGUGUAAGUGAAAUGGAAGCACUAUAUGAGCUUUUCAAGAAGAGAAGCAGCGCCGUGAUUGAUGAUGGUCUGAUCAACAAGCAAGGUGUUAAAGAGAGACGAGGUAAAGCUUUGUUCCCUGUGCUGAAGUUGUUGAGGAAGCUGAUACAAAACAUGAGGGAAGGAUUGACAAGGAAAAGUGGAGAAACCUUGUUAUGCCACAUCCAUCUCUCUUAAAGAACAUGAAUCACGGACAUCACCACGACUUUCCCGAGCGAUGUUGCCUGAGGUUGUGUUCAUCAUCUGCAGUUGAAGUGUCUACUAUUUGAUCACGGUUUGCACAAUUGAUGUAUGUAGGCCAUUUCUUGGAG